GUGUUUGCUAUUCAGUCAUGCUCGUAAAGUAUGAAUAAAGUGGUUGGAUCACUGCAUCAGAAAUUCCCUUCUGUCUCAAAGUCGCAAUUAAGAAACAAAGUUCGUGAGAUGUCAGAUUUUGUGGAUAAUCGUUGGCAGGUUAAGAAAGAAGUUUUGGACGGGGUUGGCGUUAGAAUUUCACCAGAAAAGGGCAGAGGAUGAAAGACAUUUCUAUAUUUCUCUUGAGAGGUGCUUGCCUCCUACUGCUAAAAGCUCGACUCCUAAAGGGUCCUCGCCUCCCUCGCUUAAACAUGGUUUAGUUGCUGAGGGGCCAGCAAAUCUGCACGGACAGCCACCCAUAGCCUUCUUUUCUGGAUCAUCUUUGGCCUUUCAGUUUUUUCUCCUCUAAAUUUCCCUAUAUUUUGGCCAUUUUCUGUGGCAUGUAAUUACAAAUCAUCCCAAAAAACUCAGCAU